ensembl:lncRNA
GGCGAUGGUUACAGACAGGGCAUUGAAAAUCCGGACGUCACACACACCGGCUUGUGCCCAACACAUGCCUUGAGUCCCAGGUCCACUUCACGCACUGGUUAUUAGUGUCCAUUUUAUUUUAUAAUGUGGGUAUGUAGUGUGAUUGAUAUUUUAUCCAUUAGACGUUUGGGGAUUGUGAUUGUGAAUGUUCUAAAUUAUUAAAAGUUCAUGGACGUCUUAAAUUAUUUUGCUUUUGCCUAUGUUCUUAAAUGACUAAUUAAAUGAUAAUUUCACACAUGUCAAUAGAUUGAUAAACAAAACAAAUGGGAAAAGACACUUUCUGGUUCUCCAAAGCUUCGAUGUGGCUUUUUCAAAGGCGGUCUACUUUGUAACAUCAUUAUUAAAGGGACAUUUUAACAUUUUACGCUAAACUAAAAGACUGUUUUUCUGUCAUGACUAGUGUAAAUUAUCAGUGGAAGUAAUAUCAGUAAUAUAUUCCAUUGUGUUACCUCUGCUAGAACUCAUAGCAAUUAACGAAUAUUGUGAUGUGGAUGAUGAUGAUGAUGAUGAUUUUAAUUAUUAAUAAUAAAACAACUGGGAAGAUGGCGACAUAUUCAGCAACUUUGAGUAAAUACCAGUUAUCAAAUAAUGAGACAAUAACCUGACUGCAACAGUUAAUAAACCAAAACAUCCUGUAACACUGAUUUAGCAGAAAGUUAAAGGCCUUCCUGAAUAAAAAGGUGUUUGGGCCAGUCUUAAAAGAGUCCAGGGUCUUUGUUGCCCUUAUUUGGGGGACUGCUCCAAAAGAGUAAAAGCCCUGUCGCAUUGUGAGAAGCUUAUGGUGGAGCUUGGUGUUGGGAAACGAGUAAAGGAAAGGAGUAGCGGUCGGAGGUAGACGUGGGGAUGUGUGGCGGUGCAAACCUCAAGCCAGGCUGAGGGUGCAUCCCUGGGAUGAACAGCACCGUCUCCAGCUGGUGAACCAGAGAGCUGCUUCAGAGGCACCGGGUCCUGCCCGCCUGAUGGUGAUGCCGCCAUAAGGCAGAGUACUAAACGAGCUUUCAGAGGGGCUGCAUGGCCUCAAUCUGCCAUCUGAUUCCUCCAGCUACGCUGUGGGGGGAACACACACUGUCAAAAAGCGUUGUCUUUUUUGUUUCACUUUAAAGAGCUGUUUUUAAAAAAUCUGCUCGCUGCUUCUGGGUGACUCACAUUUCUUGGGUCGCAGUUCCGUCGGCACGGACUUAAUUCAAUGUCAUCACGUGAUACAUGGACUUGUGGGAAACACCUCCACCAGACGGUCUUUCAAUGGCCCAUUUCCAUCCGAAAAUAAAGCCUAUUAGUUUAAUAACAUUUUUAUGAUAUAAAUGAGUUUAAAGUAUGGUUAAGCAAACUAACACCAAACAUUUUUGUCGGUUUUCUCCAGACAUCACACCAGUAAUGGAUUCAUAUAGGAGUCGGCAGUGUUCGGUUUCUCUGGUUUUAGUUUAAUAAAGAUUCAUUUGAAUUAUUUGACAAUGCUGACAGGGGAAGCAGCUUUUGAGAUCUCUCUCUCUUUAAUAGCAGAACCACCGCAAGUGGAGCUGUGCUCGUCAACCUGGCCUCCAUGUGCUUCAGGCACCGGCAGAUCAAGGCAUCCGCCACUUUGGUGACCCAAUAUCUCAACCACAUGUGGACAAGUCCCGCUAGUAAUGCAAAUAUUUUGUUUUCAUACAUUCUCCCGCUGCCUCCGGGCAACGUCUUCAAGUAGGGAGGUACGAGAUGAAGCCGAGCUGGAGCUUCCUGCCGAGAGCGGGGAGGUAAAGAAAUCCAAGUGUUCUCUGAGAAAACGUCUUAAUCUUCUGCGCCGCGGUUGCAAAGAGGAAGCUGUCAGAGGCCUCUGAUGAUUGAAAUAGGGAGCUGCUGCUUGGCUGUAUUUUCUGCUUCUACUGCACACAACAACAUUGUGAUGAAUAGGACUUUUCAGGAGUCAACCCACCGGCUGCAGUUUCAAAUUAUAAGCAUUACAUGUCAUUUUUUGCAAUUACAAUAGAGUCCCACGGGUAAUUCAUCAUCGGUUAACAAUAUAAACACUACUUACUUAAUGAUCCUAUCAUUGCGGAGUCUUCCUUGGAUGAAUUCUGGGUUUUGUAGCAAGCACCAGAACCAGGUUUAACUUUUAUAGAUUUAAAUUAAAUGGUAUCCACUCGUCUCGUCAUAUAGCAUAUCAAGGAGAGGUAUAUAGGGGUGAUUAAAAGGUUUUCUGAAGAGACAUGGUGUUCGCAAACACUAAAAUCUUCCUCCUGUGGUGUAGCUUGAACAUGAAGCAUCAAGUCAAUUUGUUUUUCCUUAUUUCAAAGAUUCAAAGACUGGCUCCUUUUCAGAUAAACAGGGAGUAGCUUGAGGUUUUUUGCUAGGUUUAGCCCUGGCCACUCGGAGCUACUGUCUGCACACUCCCACUUGACCAGAGCGGCCUGGCAGGAGCGUUCUCCUUAAACAUCUGUCUGUGAGGUAUAUCGGUCGGUUUCAGCAUUACCUCAUAUUUAAAUGCCAGUGUAUGACUUUAGAAUAGGAUUGAUGUGGUCUGACCUUUUGGUCCCUACGAGCACUGCAGCAAGCCAAAUAAGCUGAAGCUUUCUGAUGGUCAGUUUGAGGAGCCCUGUCAGAAGAACAUGCACAAGUCAACUGUCACGGUGUGGUUUAUUUCCAAAACCAAGAAAUUCCAAAGGGCCAAGGGGCAAAAAUACCAGCAGAAACCAAGAACAUCCAACAAUCAACAAUGACAAGAGACACAAGUGACAAGAGACACACACAGCUUAAAUACACUAGGGAGGUGCAGGUGAUUGGUCACAGGUGGAAACAAUCCGACAAUCACAGGGGAUGACAGGACAAGGCAGGAAGUGAAGUUACCCAGGGAGACAAGAAGGAGAAAACUACAAAAUAAGACAAGAAAUAAACUACACCGUGACAUCAACACUGCUGUAAAUAAAAUAAAAUGUUUCCAGGUCUGCUUUGACAUCAAGUCCCUGAGUGUGACUGUAUUUGUAUGGUAAUGAAAAAAAUGUAUUUUGUGUUGCUAUUUAGACAAAUCACAGUCAACUAUAAUGGUAACCACUGGUCAAAAAUGUUGAAUUUCAUCAUUUUUUCACCAACAAAAUAUUAUAAUAAAAAAGAAACGAUUGCUAUGAUUACGACACUGAAAUCAGUUUGUCUGAAUGCAUGUGUCAUUCUGUUUUCAUUAUAAAAUGUGACUUCCACAUUUAGCGAAACCACUCGAAAAUUUUAAAUGUCAUUUCAUAAUGUGAAAAAAUGUAAUGUAAAUGUAAAAUGUAAUGUAGCAUCUGUUUAUUACAAAACGCAGCAGGUCAUCAGAAACAGUGUUAUAGGAACAGCCAUAUUUCUCUCUGCUUCAACUACGGAUUGUCGGUGCAGCAUGUUUUACUUCUUUUCCCCAUCCCCUUCCACUGAGGCACUGGUUCCCAUGUCUGUGUGAUAUGAACCUAUUAGUGUCCAUCAGAGUUACAGAUUAUUACAUCUGCAUUAUUCUGUCCCUUUUGCACUAAAUGGACAGAAUUUAAUUAAUUUAUUCCUUCGAAUAGUCAGCAGUGAAUUAACACUUCAUCCCAGUCAUUUCACAGUGAUAACAUGACUGAGCAAACACUCAGCUUGUUAUUUAUUCUGCACACUUUCCCAUCUGUGUGUGUUGACAGUUUGCAUCCUCUGUUGAGUUCACGUUUAAUCGGAUUAUAUAUGUCUUAUAAUAAGAUCCCUUGGCUUGGAGGAUUGUUGUUUUUCCACACUCAGGGACUUGACACUGCAAGCGAUGAGCUCUCGCUCUCAUAGUGGCAUCUGGAGCUGAGCUCUCUCUGAAUGCCUCUCGACCCUCCAUUGUUGAAGGUGAAGAGGUGAAGGUAUUAAGAAACAGUUGUCUAUCGACACAUCAGCUUUCAAAAAAUCUCUUUUGCUGCUGAAGCCUCCAUCAUGUCCCCCCGCUGCUCUUUUACAAUAAGCAGGGAGAGUACAGUCAGAUACUUUUACAGGUAGAGUAUAAUUAGAUAUUUUUUAGAGUAGAGUACAAUCGGAUACUGUAACAAGUAAAGUAGAGUACAGUCAGAUACUGUUACAGGUAGACUACAGUCGGAUACUGUUAAGUAAGGUAGAGUAGCGUCGGACACUGGCACAGGUACGAGCAGCAGUGCCUCGUAUUCAAUUGCCAGUGUAGUCAGAUACUGUUACAGAUAAAGUAAAGCAGUCAGAUACUGUUACAGGUGGAGUAGAGUACAGUCAGAUACUGUUACAGGUAGAGUAGUACAGCCAGGUACUGUUACAGGUAGAGUAGUACAGCCAGGUACUGUUACAGUUAGAGUAGUACAGCCAGGUACUGUUACAGGUAGAACAGUCAGAUACUGUUACAAAUAAAGUAAAGCAGUCAGAUACGGUUACAGGUGGAGUAGAGUACAGUCAGAUACUGUUACGGGGUAGAGUAGUAAAGCCAGGUACUGUUACAGGUAGAGUAGUACAGCCAGGUACUGUUACAGGUAGAGUAGAGUACAGUCAGAUACUGUUACAGGUAGAGUAGAGUACAGUCAGAUACUGUUACGGGUAGAGUAGUACAGCCAGGUACUGAUACAGGUAGAGUAGAGUACAGUCAGAUACUGUUACAGGUAGAGUACCUGCAGCUGUUUCCUCGGCUGCUCUCCACUAUGAGCCACACAAUAACAGCCUCUGUAAAGCUCACCAAUUGUAUAAUAAAAUUGGUGAUUUUUUGGUGGUUUCUUUUGUGUUUCGGUAAAAGUGACACAUUUAACUGAAUAUAGUGAGUAAAUGGGAAAUAUAGAUCAAUGCAGCUUUCAGUACAGAGGUAGCAUUGACUUCCAUCCCGUCUUGUUCAAGGAGACUGAUGCACUAUUAACAAUGAUGUUGUCAAUGAGAAUGGGUGAAAGGAGCGUAUGUGUGUGUUUGGGCAAAUGAGGCAGGGUUGGUGUGUAUGGGGGGGGUGUCAGCUUCAGCCCGAACACAAAGACUUCCGUAUCUACCUGCAUAACGGGGAUGUCUAUAAUCCUACCUGUAACGCCCCUACCUCCCCUUUCCCAUCUCUGCUGUCUUCCCCCGUACACACUCAUGCAAGCUGUCCAUCACAGCCUAGGAAUAGAGGGAAGGGGUGUGAGUCUGGAGAAUACGCAGUGACGACUUACAGACUGGCUACCUGACUAAACAUAGCAAAGCCCCCCUGUCUGUGGUUGAACUAUGCCUGCCGUGCCUUGUCUUUUCCCCGAGUCUGGUCACAGGGGUUGGUGGAGGGGGGGAGGGGGAUCCCCCUCACUGCCAUGUGGGGGCGCUGUGGAGCUACGCCUGCUGCAGGUGUGAGACCCUCAUGUUCAUUCUGCUCUGCACUGGAGGUUAAAAUUAAACAUUAAACAUGGAGGAAAAUGAGAAGAGGGGGUGCGCAUAGGGAGGGUCGGGGGAGAUUCUAUUCAUGAAACGUCUACUUUCUUUGCAAAAUCGGACAUAACAGUGGGUGGAUGAUUCAUUGCUCGUGAGGGGCGAACUAUUCCGGCAAAGGAUGCAUAUUUCGGGCUUUGACACCUUUUACUAACAGUCCCUGUUGUGUUGUAAAUACCCACGGUCCCGAGGGGCGGGGUAAAUUUGUGCUCGGUUAUCAACUCACCAAAGAAAAACUACUAUGUACAAAUCAAUUCAUCAUAUUCACAACAGCGAGAGGUCUCAGGAGGAGAUGUUCAGAUGCUGGCUUGGGUUGGGAGUGGGGGGGGUUAUUGUUAGGUAUCUCUGGGGUAAUGUGAAGCAAUGGCGUGUGGAUUUUGACUUGAUGCCAUUUUGUUACGGUUCAGCGUUAUUGAUGUUUGCCGUUUUUGGCACAACAGCAUCUUUGAGGUUUUUCCAGAGUUUAAUUUUACAAUGUCGCCACUGAUGGCAAACCCGGGCCCUCUCUUUGCCGUUUCAGGAACAAAUGUGAUGCAACCCAGUGGCUGACAUGUCCAAAGGGGGCGGAUUGAGCGGCUCAAUGCAGUGGCUCUGUGCCGCGCAGCCAGUUUUCGCUAUCAUGACCUUGUCAACUGACUGCCACUCAAGUCAGACCUCCGAGGGUUUCUGCUUCCUUAGCCGAGGCCGGCGCUGUGACGGACCAAAAAAAAUCUCACUGCUGCGCAAUUCCCUUGAGACGCCACAUGGCAGGUAGGCAGCAGUACGGAAAGGUUUUUCUGUGAACUUCAAGGAACGAUGCCCCGCCACCCCCCAAAAAACUGAAAACAGAGAGAGAUUACAGACUCAACACAUCGGCCAUGGCUUGAAUUUUCCUUCUGAAUUAAGCAAUCAGGGACAAUUGAAGGACUUGGUCAAAGAGUCACACAACAAAGUGGUUUUGUCAUUGUGCAACCAGAGAUUUUGUGUCGGGAAGAAAGUGAAUUAAUUAAAUUGCAUUGGUUAGCGCCUAAGUACUUGACACUGGUGCCCAAUUAAGAUCUGUAAGGCCUGGGGCACGAAACACUGGAGGAGCCUAUAGAUUUUUAAUAGCAAAUACAUGACAAAAGUGCUACUUUCGACUUUGAUAACCUUGUUUUAAUUACGCAAUUACAUGGCCGUCUCCUAACCCUGCUCUCUUUGGUGCAUUUAAAAGCAGCCUCCACAUUGAGGGCCAUUUGUUCAGCGCUACGUCAGCUUUGAACUCGUGGGAAAUAAUAUGCAAAAAUCUUUCCUUUGAUGCAGAGCAAAGUGCGCUUAUUAAACAAUUAUCAUAGUUAUUCUCGUAUUAAUCCCCCAGAGAGACUGCAAAUUAGCAGGAGGGUUUAAAAUAGACUUGUUUAAUAGGUGACUGUAUGCCCCGCGGCACAGCAAUGCGCCGCCGUCAACACACGUUGACGAUGUCAUGGUUCCCCGUUGCUGUUCUGUCAGGGAAGCUCCCCAUGAGGAAGACAUGACAGCUCUCCCCGGCUACGGAUACAGUGCUCUUGAGUCCUUUUUACCUCGAUAAGCCUCCGCAAUGACGGAGUGUUUCGGCCCACAUGGCACACACACACCGCAGUAAAGUGCAGUCAUUAAGAUGUUUGGUUUCCCGCGCGUCUCCAUCUGAGAUUGAGUGGUUUGGUGUUCUGACGCUGCGCAUCCCAGAGAGUGGCUGUCAGUCAGCAGCUCCAUUUCUAUAAAUUGUAUAGUAAAACUAAAAUAAGGGAGUCUAGACUGUAUGGCAGAAAUGACGGGAGCAAAGGUUAUAUGUGUGUCAGUGUACCUUCUGUCUGGGUCUGUCGGCCCUGGUUCAGACAGUUUGAAGAGAAAGAAUACUAAAUUAAUAUUUUAGCUAGCAGUUUGCUUCCACUUUUGUGUCGAUUGUGAGAGCGUAGGAGGUGAAAGAACUGAAAAAUAACUAGAAAAGGCAGUUUAUGAAGCAGUACAAGCUUUCUCUAAGGGUCAGAAACAAACCCCAGGGCCAGACGACAGACAGACAGACAGGCAGACAGUCAGACUCUGCAUACACACACAGGUCUGACAUUAGGUUCUGUUUUCUCCUGAUCAGUCAUGUAUUUCAGAAUUCAGAGCUACACACACUUAAUCCAAUAUAUAUUUUUACCCUCCUUGUGAUCUUGUGAGAGUCUCAUCCCGCCUCUGUUUGCCACUGUUGUUUGCGUGGUCAUCUGGAUGGUGUUUCUUGUCGUCCUGAUCUUCUCAUUUUUAUUUAAAGAUGUUUCUAUUAGGACAUUUUGGCUUUUUUUAAAUUCUGCUUGCUCAUAUGAUCGAUUGCAUCAUUUCUUUCAUCUCGUUUUUUCUACCAUCACAUUUGAUCAACUGUAUUUUUCCUUCUUGACGCUCAGCUGCUGUUUUAUUGCUGCACAAAUAGACCUACAACCUGUUUUUGUUUGUGCAUCUAAUCCACUUUUUCUGCCACCAUGUCUCGGGCUGACUAUAAAUCAUCUGGCUUAUUUUUCUCUAACGUUAUAACCCAUUGGAGUCGGAUGAAAGAAUUAACCACCUGCCCCCCCACACACACACACACGCAGUACAAUGAUAAUAGACGAAAGCUACGGAUGAAUAUUAAUAAAUGAUGAUGAACAUCCUUUACUCUCUCCAAAGACAAUCUCUCAGCUGGGGGAAAUGUAAAUGGUUACAAGCGGUAGUAGCAGGCAACGGAAGAGUCCAAUAAAAGUGAAGUAGGAGGGUCACAUAUAUUAGAAUUACACCCGAAAACAACUCUGCCUGCAAUGCCAAAAACACCCAAUAAAUUCUCUGUAAAAGGUAUUUACAGUUACUAACGCUCAUUCGAACACUCAGAUAUUGUGUGUUAUUUAUAGUAACCCAAGUACUUUACUUGUAACACCUACAUCAUUGCUUAUAAUAACAGAGGAUGUGAUAGGAGUGUCGAAGAUGGCGGUGGCUGAUUCUGAUUCUGCUGAUGUAAUGAUGAAUCAGCAAAGUACGAUGAAUGAAUUGCGGGCAAACAAGUAAUAAAGUAUGUUUUUGCCUGUCAUGGGGUUGGGGUGGGAGACUCAGACAAUGGUAGAGGAUUUAAGGUUGGAAUGUAUUCCUCAAAGCAGAUACAAACUAAAAGGCCAACAGGAACACAAGGAAACACAUGGUUUAAACACACUGGGGAGGUGCAGGCAGAAAAUCAUUAAGGUGGAGAAACACCGGGGCAGGAAGUGAAUUAAACCCAGGGACAUGAGAGGCAGGAAAUACAAGAAAACAAGAACAAGAAAACAAGAAAAUCCAACCCAACAUUAUGACAAUCCAUACAUAGUAUAUCUACAUAAUCUCCAUCGGAUGCCAGGAUAGGGUAUUCCUUAAACACUGUCUCGUUUCUCUCCUCAGCCCCCCCUUCUCUAACUGAGAAUGUUGGUGAGAAGAUAAUGUUAACUAUAAAUAUUAAAACCAGUCACAGAGAAUAUCAGGUUUAUUUUCUGCAUCAGAGCAGGGAGGAAUCGAGAGAGGAAUCAUCACUUUACGUCUGUUCAAGUGUGAGCUGUCGAUCCCAAUUGUGAUGUUGAAAAGUUGCAUGGACAUUAGUUCAGCAGAUUUGAAUUGUUAUAGCUUGUGAGUCAAAUCUGAUUCGGCAAAUCUGAAUAUUUUCCUCUGGAGUAGAAGUGUUUUUGAAGUGCCUUUGGGUUCUUUUGUAACAAUAGCAUCUUUCAAAAUGACAAACAUUGAAUACAAAUGCCAUAUAAUAACGAUAUUAACGAUAUUAAUAGUCUUCAUAUAUCCUACAUGUUUGGUUUGCAAUGAGCAGACAUUUAGCCUGGAGAACUUAUAGGAGAAAUCUGGUCAGCUCCGCACUGACUGGUGCACCCCCCAUCACCCCUCCUACUCUGGCCUCCUUCUCCAGCCCGAGGAGCUCUCCAUGGUGCUCACACAUUCACAGCAGAGCUUAACCGGACCCGAGGAACCUAAUCGAUCCACUUAUUAGAAAAUAGUUUUUUCCCAUAGAAAAGCUGGUCAGACUGGAAGCUGUGAUGAUCUGCAUCGUGAAGUGAGGAGGACGCACUCCCACCCCCUUUACACCUCACACAUGCUGUGGCAUCGUUAAGAUCACAAUGGGCUUUAUUGGCCAUGCAUGGGCAAUGUGCUCCUCCCUGUGAGUCCGGCCUUGAAGACGUCAUGCUCCUCAGAAUCACACUGGCCGUGGGUCAUUGAUCGGAGCAGUUACUCAGCCUCAGCCUCAAACGGCUUAUUUUGGAAAUCAACAUGACUCCAGGCUUUUGGUUUCUGAAGGGUGCAGCCUGACGGAGAGCACCUUUAAACAUCCCCUCAUACGAUCUGUGUUUUAACUGCAUUAUAUAUUCACUCAAUGCGCACUUACAGGCUUUGCGUCGGAUCUUCUACGACGUAUCCUUGUUUUCACGCACAAAUGGACUUUGAAUGGCCAUUGAGGAGAUGGUGGACACUGUGUACUACAAGAUGGGAUGACGACGGAACCAUCUCCAUGGCAACUGAGAAAACACAGAGGAAGACCGUGAAACACAGUUGAUACAAUCAAUUUUUCAAAUAAACAUCAAGUGUUCUAUUAAAUGUCUCUCUAGCGGUUCUGGAGCUUUUGAUUGCCAUCACAUGAGCUUCAUCAAUGUCAAGUUUGACCAGUGCUCCGUUAGUUGUGGAUAACUUGAAAACCUGGUUUUAUUUAGAAACAAAGACCUCAAAAUACAUGAUCUUCAUAAAAAUGGCUUUCAGAGGUGUCUCGUAACAAGUUUCAGCUUGUAUCCCAUCUCAUGCAUGUUUAUUGGAAUAGGUCCCCCCAGGACGGGACAUCUCAUGGAACAGGCCUUCUCUCCUCAGGGCCCACGCUACGCACUCUUUUUUUUGCAUCCCUUAAUCAGGUGGAUCAGACCUCCAUGCUUUAUUCUUGAUGGACACUGUACACACUGUAGAUGAUGAAGGGGAAACGUGUUUACCCGUUGGUAUCAUGACUACGCGCCCUUUGAGGGUGUGCUCAGCUCUUCACAGUGGAUGGCAUUGAUUGCACAGGGAGAGGGGGUUGUCAUCAGUCUGGCUACGUGGCUGCAGUUUCCAAAAAAAACUGAUAUGAAGAAUGAAAUAUCUAUAAUUGCUAGGACUGUCAACAUAAAUGCAUUAAUCUAUGCGAUUAAUGCGGCCGCGAUUAAUCCAACAAAAUAUUUUAACAUAGUUAACGUACGUUUGUUUACUUCUGGUUAACUGAAGUUGACCGUGGAAACAAAACGGCCGCUAACUGCAACCAGUUACAUCAAGAUGGAAAGAUUUUUGCAUUGGAAGUAAAACAAACAGAGGCGCAACAUACAGUGGUGCAGAGGAAUUACUCCACGUGUCAAACAGAAAGUGAGUGAGUGACAAACGGACCACUUAAAGCACUGCUAGGCUAAACUAGCUGCCAGGCUAAGGUAGCAGCUAGGCUGCCUCCAUCUCAACAUCUAACGUUACCCUGUGCGGCACACAGUCUGCAGAGGACCACCACGGUGUCCCUAAAAGACCUUGAUUUGAAAACGUUCUGGCUAAAUGUGGGGAGAUUGUUGGCACUUCAAAUACAGGCGUUACAUUAUGGAGAGUUGAGAGCAGAGUGCACGAGGACAACAGUUCAACAUGUUGAACCAUAAGGGGAAAUUCUACCUCCAAGAUGAUCAAAUGUGUGUAGUUUUGUGUUUAAAAUAACAUUAACAACAAUUACCGUUUGGGGUUAAUUGUACAGUAGUAGUAGUAGUUGUAGUAGUAGUUAUCCUUUAGAAGAAUUCCCUGCAUAAACGUAAUGCUGCAAUGUUUCUCAUUGUCAUAUUUAGUGAUUUGGGGAUUAACAUCUGGUAGUAUGCCCAGUGCCGAUACUCCGUUACCUCCAAAUGUUCUCUGAGCACCAGCCAAAGUUUGCUUACAAUGUAUGAUCGUGUUUAGAAGCUUGCAGCUCUUGGUUGAAGAUGGCUGAGGACUGUGUGAAAUGUGACAUUUUCACACACAAUAGCACAAACGGUAUAUUUGAACUCUCUUAUCAUCUUUUCACCACACAUGAAACACAUUGAAUUCAUACAAUUGAAGACACAAUAGCAGAAGCCCCGACCGCCCACUAUGAUAGAGGUUUAAAAAUACCUUUACAACUAUACUCAAUGAUCCAGUAUGGGAGCCAUUAUGUACCAGCCUGUGCUCAGUUUCCUCUCCUCUCAAGUUACAACUUGAAACAGUAUAUUCAUGUUCGCCCUGAUGUGAACAUUGUGUGCUUUAAAUGAUUUUGCCAGAGAACACUUUAAAAUGCCACUUCGAAAAAAGUGCAGGCUGAUCACUCCGAGAGGGAAAUGCAGCAAUGUUAUAUCACAGACACACACACACACACACACACACACACACACACACACACACACACACACACACACACACACACACACACACACUAAUCUGCUUCAUAUUGCUUUUAGAAAGGCUCAGAGAAAGUUUGAUUAAAUAAAAUGCAAAUCACAGUGAUUUUACACUUGACUUUGAAUGUAACUGAGAUGUUGCUUCAUUGGUAUUCAGCCGAGCAUUAUAGUGAUCCUUACUGCACAAUACAAAUGAAGCUGCAGAGGCUCUCAGCAUGAAUACGCACAAGGGAAUGUCAUUCAGCUCUGUCUUCUCCAUCAUUAUGUACACCUCACCAUCUAUUGUUUGGAAUCCAAACACUCUUUGAGCCAGCAGGAAUCCUGUUAUUGUGGAUCAGAGGAGAAGGGGUCAGGCUGGCCCUGGGAGCUCGAAGCACUGCGAAUGAGAAAACAUAUGCAAGUAGGCAAAACACAAGCACAAGAAAUCAUUAUCCCCAGGUUCCCAACAAAAUGCUACAAAUGGAGAAAAGACCCAUUGAUGUGCAUGAAUAGGGAGACAUUUUCUUACUUUGCUUCUGUUUGUAGAGCAUUGAGCUUUAAAAGAAAAAAUCAUAUUUGAGCAUGAGUGGUUACAUUGUGUCAUGUUAUUGUUAUAUACCUGCUACGACCAUGUAAUAACUGUUAAGAGGUCCUGCUCCUGUCUGUGCAGUCACAUCGCUCCCGGAGAGGAGGAAAGAGGGUCGGAGCUUUUAGAUAUACAUAGGUUUUAGUGUUUUUCCAACUACAUUUGGAUCUUUUAUUAUUUUGUCACCGUAUUGGGUGUGAUAUCAAGCCUAUUGCCGUUUGAUUGCUUCAGUGCUGUCUCGUUUAUGCAGAUUUUACAAGUUUUAUAUCCCAUCCCCAUCUUUUAAACCAAUCUUUUUCUGCAGACUACCUGAUGUUUCAACCUGCUGGCUUUCGAAGUCUCCGCUCAGCACCACCUCAGCUGAUAGAAGAUCUGCUCCACCCUUUGGUAGCCACACUGUUUACAGCAGUACAGCCCCCCCAGUCUUCAUGCACGGAUAUUUAAUGUCAAAAGAUUUCUGGCUUUUCAUUUGAAAUAUUUGCAAGAAUUGUUGGUUUUAUUUUAGCGGCCAAAAAAUCUGCAAAUUGAGGAAGUGAUGACUAAAUGAAAACAAUUUGGGUAUUUGUAGCAAAGUGGUAUUCAUGACCAACCACCAUUACUGAUGCCCUUCUGAUGGCAUUAUUGUAUUAUCAAGACAACAGGUAAAUAAGGUCAACAUUGAUUGUACUUGUUUACUUUCAACUGCAGUUAAAAAUAGAUCGCAUUGAUUGAUGUUAAUGCAUGUGUUCUGAAGUGUUUAUUUUUUCAUAAAAAAUGUUUCUGCAUCCCCAUAGACUAAGCCUUAAAGUUAGUUAUAGCCAAAGCCUCUACCAUUUACUCAGAACUACUCUUAGGUCUAAUUCUUAAAUGUUUCAGACUGAUAUGAAAAUUACCUUUAAACCUUAAGCUGUCAUUACAUUCACUUACAGCAACUUCAUUCAUUUUGGAGAUGUGUAAUGACAAAAGCACAGGUUUGCAAGAUCUUUGUCAACUGUCUAAAUAUCUAAAUGUAACUGCAGUGUUCCCCAAUAGGUUGAUCGCGAUCAACCAGUCUGUCUUGAAGGCAGUACCAGUCGAUCGCAUGCAAUCAAUUAAAAGAAUGACCCAUAUGCGCGGCCCAUUCCCGCGGGAGAUGACCGGAACUAAUGCUAAUUAGCGACCCUUGCUUACUAACGGACGCAUUUAAUUUUAUUCUAAAGAAUGUGCGGGAUGCUUGUGACGGUUCCCUCCUUGUGACAGAUGAGAGGCUAGUUGUUUUCUCCAUAUCGACUCGUUUUGCGCUGACUUCAGUCCUGCUGUUCCACUUGGUAACCGUUAUUACGGUCCCCCCCCCCCCCGCCGGGCGGUCCUCCAUGGGGAGGGAGGAGAUCGCCAUGACUUGGUCAGUUGAAAAGUAGCUCGCGAGCCGGAAAAGUGUGGGCACCCCUGGUCUACAGGGACACCGGUGAUUGCCUUGGUCUCUGUGGAGGUUCAUUUUCGGCUUGGGGUUCCAAGUGCUCGUAGCAGCUGUUCAGUCUCUGUGUCUCCUCUUGUGUAUCUGUGUAAAUAAGCAAUGCCUUUUUUCAGAUUGGAUCACAGUAGAUUGGACCACACCGGCUGAGAGGUCUUCUGGGAUGCUUGGCUCCAUCUGUUCCGGUACCAAGCAUUCAUCAUGCAGCCAAGUAGUAAGUCUGGUCAUAUAGUGAAACAAAUAUCAUUGAAAAUGUAUGUGUUAAGCACUUAGGACACAUCUUUUAUAGUAUUUUUAUUGGACACUCCCUGCCUGCUACAGGUUUCUAAGCCAAACCUACAAUACCAAUGUUGUGCUGCAAAAGUGGAAAUAACACCUGAAUAGUCUUGUAGCCAAUCUCAAGAUACCACAUGUGAGUUCAUAGAUGCAGUAAGCCAGGCCUAGAUGUUCCACCACUGGUCCAGGCACUGACCCAUAAAGAAAUGACCAGAUGUUAAAAUGCUCCUUUCCUAUUACCUAAGGGUUGAUAUUGUCCAAUAGCACAACAGCUCCUUGUGCUUUAUCAACCUGUUCACAAUCAGUCACUUUUAUGGCUUGUAAGGGAAAAAUGUGUUUUGUGGGUUCCAACACGUUUCAAUCCCUCGUUUCCAUAUAAUCAUAAUUAGUGUUCAGAUCUUUAUGUGUUCAGAUCUUUAUGUUCACGUUUGUUUAAUGUGACUAAAUACGCUUUGGCGUUCAACUGAACACAGUGUGUUUUGGAACUCAUCCAUCCAAGUUGUUUGAUGAUGUAUUUCUUUGUCCAGCCAUAUUUAGAAACUUGGAGAGACGAGGUGGAGGCCAACAUGAGGUUACUAUAAACGGAUAGAGGAUCAUUUGGAGCAUUGUGUUAAAAACAUCAAGAAACUGGUUAUGAUCAGAACCCAAAUAAAGGAGAUGGAGACGUCCCCCCCAAUAUGAAAUGAAUGAAUGCGUCAAAUGUGGUAUUAUUAUGUACAACUGCCUCGUAUGUGUCUUUCUGGAAAGAGCUUGUUUCAUUAGAGUCUGUGUGAUUCCAAUACAUCUCUGUGAUUUGAAACAUCUGAAUGUCCAGUGUGUUCUGUGUGGGGGUGUUACUGAAAGUCCUACGUACCUCACCACAUGUUAAAGUUAGAAGAUAGAGUUAAUUAGUCAGAAGGUUGUACAAACUGAAAUCCACCACCAAAGAGGUUGUGGUCUGUCCCUUUUGUUUCUCUUUGACUCCGUUUUACAUAGCGCUUGUGCAGCUACAUUUUGAGUUUUAAGUUCAGCUUUUAGCUUCUCUUCUAUGGUAUGAUGAAGCGAUUAAGAAGACUCAACCUCCCCCGCUUACGUUGACCGAGAUGAUAACCCCCCCUUCUUUUGUGUUUGAUGUUGAGUUCCCUUGGUGAUAGUGGUAUUUGGGGGCUAUUGUCAAAUCUAUCACACUAGAUUCCAUCUUUCACCUGUUGCUCUUUUUUGUCUGAAGUGAGCACAAUGUUCCCCUCUCACACUCUCCACAGUAAUGACCCAAUGUUCUGAAAGAAGAAAAGCCUGAGUCCUUGGGGGAUGAGGGGGGCGGCCCAAGCGUGGACUGUAUGCCCCGAGGCCCUCUCGCUCCGCUUAUAGAAAAGUCCAUUUUAGCUUCCUCACACGCUGACCUGCAACCACAAACAGUGGAAGCUGAUUAAAAAUAUGGCAUUUCUCUUUUUGCUACACAACAUGAUGUAUGUGGCAUUCACAGUAUCUAAUAUCAUAUAGGUAGUGUGUCCAAAAGCACAGUACACCACAUUGGCAUCUGUCAAGCAACAUCGUUGCCAACCUUGCACCAGCAAAUUCUUAUGAUGGUGAGUGAUGACUAAGUAUUCAUUAUUUUGAAAUGAUUUAGUUGGCUAACGUUAGCUAGUUCUGAUUAGUUAGCUAUGGGGGCGUGCUAGCUAACCUAGCUAAGUUAGCCAAUGUUAGACAGAGUGCAGUCGGUGAGAGAAUUUUUUGGAAAGGGGGUGUGGCUUAUCUCUGUAAAGGCAGUUAUCAUUUCCGCUAUCCACUAUGGAAAUACACUAUUUGUGCUCUGUACCUGUUGUGGAAAUAACACAAACGUUGCACAUUAACUUACGAUCUUUCAAUCUGAGCUGUCUGUCUCGGUAAGUGACAGUUUCAUAAAGUGUAUUCACGCUUUGGCAGUAGGACGGCGGCGAUAACGAGCGGAGGAGAGGAUCUCAAUGCUGAUUGGCUUUCGCAGGACAGCGUUGUUGAAAUAUUUUACCUUUGGUGAAAAAGCUAUUCAUUCGCUUCUCUCCUUUAGCUUUUUCGGGUCCCCCAUGCAGCAUUGUGUUGAGAAUUUGCGUUGAAAAUUUGCUUCCUCCACAAACAUGCGCUUCUGUGCAUUGACUUUGCAUGGAAUCUACUCAUUCAAAUAAUUUGCUUCGCUUUUGCUGUGAACAUUAGUGAGACGCAGUUGACUGGUCUCAAGGUUUAAAUAUUUAGUGUUUUGUUUUUACAGAAGCAUGAAGUAAUCGGCUCAAUAACAUUCUGCGUUCUGCAAAAUGGUCAAGCUAAACACGAGAAACUAAAAAUAAAAUUGAAUGAGUCUGAUUUAUGUUUUCUGUUUGAUUUGGUUCAAAAGAAAACUGUACAGAAUCUGUACACUACUGCCUAAUAGUCUUAUUAGUGCUAUUUGAUGACAAUUACACAUACAGGAAAAUAAGUUAAUUUAUUAUUUUUAACAAAGGUUGAAUGUUAUUUCACAAGUUUCAUAAAAUGCCCCCAAUUUCUUAUGAAAUUGGUUUUUAGUCAGUGGGGGCAAAAAUUCUGCUAUUUUUGCACUCUCACAUCUGUCAAGGGUUACCAUAUUAAAAGUUAUAACUGAGCCGUCAUUUUAUGGUCACAAUAUUGAAAUGCAGGUGCUGCCGGACAGAUGCCAUUAGAUAUUAAAUGUUUCAUCACAGUGAAUGUGGCAGCAUGCUGCUUGUGUGGUUAUCACAAAGUCCCUUGAUAUCUGAAUAUUUUGCUUAGACAUUUUUCUUAAAUUUGACUCCACAAUCUAACACACACACACUCACCUACACAUACACCCUUCUUAGAUCUCAUCCACACUUGUCGGCUGCAUCUUUCACAGUCUAAAUUUAGCUUACCAGAUUUAAUUCAAUAAACCACCUGUCUUCUCUUGCAGUCACCUCACUGCUUCAAGGUUUUCUUCUUAGCAUUUGCAUAGUAA